CAGUCGUGAGGAAGGUAGUGUAGUUAAUAGCUGCAUUAUUUGACGUUAGCGACAGAAAAGACACCGGCUAACUCCGUGCCAGCAGCCGCGGUAAUACGGAGGGUGCGAGCGUUAAUCGGAAUUACUGGGCGUAAAGCGCAUGCAGGUGGUUUGUUAAGUCAGAUGUGAAAGACCCGGGGCGUCAACCUCGGAAUAGCAUUUGAAACUAGGCAGACUAGAGUACUGUAGAGGGGGGUAGGAAUUUCAGGUGUAGCGGUGAAAUGCGUAGAGAUCUGAAGGAAUACCGGUGGCGAAGGCGGCCCCCUCGGACAGAUACUGACACUCAGAUGCGAAAGCGUGGGGAGCAAACAGGAUUAGAUACCCUGGUAG
rnacentral:rRNA from 1 species